rnacentral:rRNA from 1 species
GAUGAACGCUGGCGGCGUGCCUAAUACAUGCAAGUCGAGCGAACAGACGAGGAGUUUGCUCCUCUGACGUUAGCGGCGCACGGGAGUGAAACAUGUGGAUAAUCCACCUAAAAGAGGGGUAUAAUCUCGGAAAAGCGGCUCAUACCGCGGAUAAUAUAUUGAACCGUAUGGUUCAAUAGAGAAAGACGGUUUUGCUGGCACUUAUAGAUGGAUCCGCGCCGCAUUAGCUAGUUGGUAAGGUAACGGCUUACCAAGGCGACGAUGCGUAGCCGACCUGAGAGGUGGUCCGCCAACACGGGACCUGGAACCCGCUCAAUACUCCUACGGAAGGCAGCAGAAGGGAAUCUUCGGCAAUGGGCGAAAGCCUGCCGGAGCAACGCGGCGUAGGUGAUAAAGCCUUUGGGUUCGUAAGCCCCGGUUUUUGGGGAGAAACAGAUUUGUACGUAACUGUGGACGUCUUGACGGUACCUAAUCAGAAAGCCACGGCUAACUACGUG